AGAGUAAGUUGGGUGAUCGCGGGAUAUCUUACAUAUUUCGAGGAAGGUCCGGACUCCAUAGGAUGGGAUAGCGGCUAACGGCCGUCUAGUUUUGUAUAAAGCUAAGAAAUAGGGCCACAGAGACGAGUUUGCAAUUAACUUAUUGAUAAAAUCAUUGGUUUUGCAAGGUGAAACGCGGCAACCUUUAUCCGGAGCAACAUCAAAUAGGCAUGCGUUUGAUAUUAUAUCAUGAAGAGUAGUCCGCUUUAGUAUGCGGGUAGAUGGCUACAACAAAUUUGCAAAAAUUUGUGCAGAUGAAUGAUCAUCAGUUUAUUAUUUUUAAUAAACCUACAGAAUCCGGCCUAUAGACUUACUCUUGUU
rnacentral:RNase_P_RNA from 1 species